rnacentral:rRNA from 1 species
AGUGAACGCUGGCGGUAGGCCUAACACAUGCAAGUCGAACGGCAGCACAGUAAGAGCUUGCUCUUACGGGUGGCGAGUGGCGGACGGGUGAGGAAGACAUCGGAAUCUACUUUUUCGUGGGGGGUAACGUAGGGAAACUUACGCUAAUACCGCAUACGACCGACGGGUGAAAGCCGGGGAUCUGUGGGCCUGGCGGGAUUGAAUGAGUCGAUGUCGGAUUAGCUAGUUGGCGGGGUAAAGGCCCACCAAGGCGACGAUCCGUAGCUGGUCUGAGAGGAUGAUCAGCCACACUGGAACUGAGACACGGUCCAGACUCCUACGGGAGGCAGCAGUGGGGAAUAUUGGACAAUGGGCGCAAGCCUGAUCCAGCCAUACCGCGUGGGUGAAGAAGGCCUUCGGGUUGUAAAGCCCUUUUGUUGGGAAAGAAAAGCAGCAGGUUAAUACCCCGCUGUUCUGACGGUACCCAAAGAAUAAGCACCGGCUAACUUCGUG